GCUAUAGCUUGGUGGUAGAGCUCAUGUACUGCAAGCAAAAGGUCCCAGGUUCAAUCCCUGGGAUCUCCA